CCUACGGGUGGCAGCAGUGGGGAAUAUUGCGCAAUGGGCGAAAGCCUGACGCAGCGACGCCGCGUGAGGGAUGAAGGUCUUCGGAUCGUAAACCUCUGUCAGCAGGGAAGAACGGUCACUGUGCUAAUCAGCAGUGAAUUGACGGUACCUGCAAAGGAAGCACCGGCUAACUCCGUGCCAGCAGCCGCGGUAAUACGGAGGGUUCGAGCGUUAAUCGGAAUUACUGGGCGUAAAGGGCUCGUAGGCGGUAUGUCAAGGCAAGGGUGAAAGCCCCGCGCUCAACGUGGGAACCGCCAUUGAAACUGGCAAACUGGAGUGUGUGCGAGGAUAGUGGAAUAACAGGAGUAGGAGUGAAAUCCGUAGAUAUCUGGAGGAACAUCAGUGGCGAAGGCGACUAUCUGGCACAUAACUGACGCUGAGGAGCGAGAGCGUGGGUAGCAAACAGGAUUAGAUACCCCUGUAGUC
rnacentral:rRNA from 1 species